rnacentral:rRNA from 1 species
UACGUAGGGGGCAAGCGUUAUCCGGAUUUACUGGGUGUAAAGGGAGCGUAGACGGUGAUGCAAGUCAGAAGUGAAAGCCCGGGGCUCAACUCCGGGACUGCUUUUGAAACUAUGUAACUGGAGUGCAGGAGAGGUAAGCGGAAUUCCUGGUGUAGCGGUGAAAUGCGUAGAUAUCAGGAGGAACACCAGUGGCGAAGGCGGCUUACUGGACUGUAACUGACGUUGAGGCUCGAAAGCGUGGGGAGCAAACAGG